AGCGUACACGGUGGAUGCCCUGGCAGUCAGAGGCGAUGAAGGACGUGCUAAUCUGCGAAAAGCGUCGGUAAGGUGAUAUGAACCGUUAUAGCCGGCGAUGUCCGAAUGGGGAAACCCAGUGCAAUUCGUUGCACUAUCGUUAACUGAAUACAUAGGUUAACGAGGCGAACCGGGGGAACUGAAACAUCUAAGUACCCCGAGGAAAAGAAAUCAACCGAGAUUCCCCCAGUAGCGGCGAGCGAACGGGGAGCAGCCCAGAGUCUGAAUCAGCUUGUGUGUUAGUGGAACGGUCUGGAAAGUCCGACGGUACAGGGUGAUAGUCCCGUACACCAAAAUGCACAGGCUGUGAACUCGAAGAGUAGGGCGGGACACGUGGUAUCCUGUCUGAAUAUGGGGGGACCAUCCUCCAAGGCUAAAUACUCCUGACUGACCGAUAGUGAACCAGUACCGUGAGGGAAAGGCGAAAAGAACCCCGGCGAGGGGAGUGAAAAAGAACCUGAAACCGUGUACGUACAAGCAGUGGGAGCACCUUCGGGUGUGACUGCGUACCUUUUGUAUAAUGGGUCAGCGACUUAUAUUCUGUAGCAAGGUUAACCGUAUAGGGGAGCCGCAGGGAAACCGAGUCUUAACUGGGCGUUAAGUUGCAGGGUAUAGACCCGAAACCCGGUGAUCUAGCCAUGGGCAGGUUGAAGGUUGGGUAACACUAACUGGAGGACCGAACCGACUAAUGUUGAAAAAUUAGCGGAUGACUUGUGGCUGGGGGUGAAAGGCCAAUCAAACCGGGAGAUAGCUGGUUCUCCCCGAAAGCUAUUUAGGUAGCGCCUCGUGAACUCAUCUUCGGGGGUAGAGCACUGUUUCGGCUAGGGGGUCAUCCCGACUUACCAACCCGAUGCAAACUACGAAUACCGAAGAAUGUUAUCACGGGAGACACACGGCGGGUGCUAACGUCCGUCGUGAAGAGGGAAACAACCCAGACCGCCAGCUAAGGUCCCAAAGUCAUGGUUAAGUGGGAAACGAUGUGGGAAGGCACAGACAGCCAGGAUGUUGGCUUAGAAGCAGCCAUCAUUUAAAGAAAGCGUAAUAGCUCACUGGUCGAGUCGGCCUGCGCGGAAGAUGUAACGGGGCUAAACCAUGCACCGAAGCUGCGGCAGCGACACUAUGUGUUGUUGGGUAGGGGAGCGUUCUGUAAGCCUGCGAAGGUGUGCUGUGAGGCAUGCUGGAGGUAUCAGAAGUGCGAAUGCUGACAUAAGUAACGAUAAAGCGGGUGAAAAGCCCGCUCGCCGGAAGACCAAGGGUUCCUGUCCAACGUUAAUCGGGGCAGGGUGAGUCGACCCCUAAGGCGAGGCCGAAAGGCGUAGUCGAUGGGAAACAGGUUAAUAUUCCUGUACUUGGUGUUACUGCGAAGGGGGGACGGAGAAGGCUAUGUUAGCCGGGCGACGGUUGUCCCGGUUUAAGCAUGUAGGCUGAUUGUCCAGGCAAAUCCGGAUAAUCAAGGCUGAGGUGUGAUGACGAGGCACUACGGUGCUGAAGUAACAAAUGCCCUGCUUCCAGGAAAAGCCUCUAAGCAUCAGGUAACAUUAAAUCGUACCCCAAACCGACACAGGUGGUCAGGUAGAGAAUACCAAGGCGCUUGAGAGAACUCGGGUGAAGGAACUAGGCAAAAUGGUGCCGUAACUUCGGGAGAAGGCACGCUGGUGUGUAGGUGAAGUCCCUGCGGAUGGAGCUGAGACCAGUCGAAGAUACCAGCUGGCUGCAACUGUUUAUUAAAAACACAGCACUGUGCAAACACGAAAGUGGACGUAUACGGUGUGACGCCUGCCCGGUGCCGGAAGGUUAAUUGAUGGGGUUAUCCGUAAGGAGAAGCUCUUGAUCGAAGCCCCGGUAAACGGCGGCCGUAACUAUAACGGUCCUAAGGUAGCGAAAUUCCUUGUCGGGUAAGUUCCGACCUGCACGAAUGGCGUAAUGAUGGCCAGGCUGUCUCCACCCGAGACUCAGUGAAAUUGAACUCGCUGUGAAGAUGCAGUGUACCCGCGGCAAGACGGAAAGACCCCGUGAACCUUUACUAUAGCUUGACACUGAACAUUGAGCCUUGAUGUGUAGGAUAGGUGGGAGGCUUUGAAGCGUGGACGCCAGUCUGCGUGGAGCCAACCUUGAAAUACCACCCUUUAAUGUUUGAUGUUCUAACGUUGGCCCCUUACCGGGGUUGCGGACAGUGUCUGGUGGGUAGUUUGACUGGGGCGGUCUCCUCCCAAAGCGUAACGGAGGAGCACGAAGGUUAGCUAAUCCUGGUCGGACAUCAGGAGGUUAGUGCAAUGGCAUAAGCUAGCUUGACUGCGAGCGUGACGGCGCGAGCAGGUGCGAAAGCAGGUCAUAGUGAUCCGGUGGUUCUGAAUGGAAGGGCCAUCGCUCAACGGAUAAAAGGUACUCCGGGGAUAACAGGCUGAUACCGCCCAAGAGUUCAUAUCGACGGCGGUGUUUGGCACCUCGAUGUCGGCUCAUCACAUCCUGGGGCUGAAGUAGGUCCCAAGGGUAUGGCUGUUCGCCAUUUAAAGUGGUACGCGAGCUGGGUUUAGAACGUCGUGAGACAGUUCGGUCCCUAUCUGCCGUGGGCGCUGGAGAAUUGAGGGGGGCUGCUCCUAGUACGAGAGGACCGGAGUGGACGCAUCACUGGUGUUCGGGUUGUCAUGCCAAUGGCACUGCCCGGUAGCUAAAUGCGGAAGAGAUAAGUGCUGAAAGCAUCUAAGCACGAAACUUGCCCCGAGAUGAGUUCU
rnacentral:rRNA from 1 species